UAGAGAGAACGGAAAGGAGAGAAAAAAAGAUAGCAGGAAAAGGAGCAGGAGACAAAAGUACAGUAGAAAAAGAAAAGUGAGAAGAGAAAAAGAUCAGAGGAAAGGAAAAAGAAAGAGAGAGGAAGGGGGAGGGAGGGGAGAGGGAGGGGGGGGGUUUAUUUUAUGUUAUGUUAUCUCUAUUUCUGCAGUGUUCCCUCUUCCCCCCUUUUGCGAUUUCUGUCACCUUUUCCUCUUUUCCUUUUUCCCCUCUUUCACUCCUUUCAUUUUAUUCUUUCUCUCUUUUCUCCUUCUUCCCCACUCCCUCUUUUCUCCCUUAUCCCCCUUCUCCCUCUCUUUGUUUCCGUUUUCUCCUCCUUCCUCCCUCCAU